GUCUUAAAGGAAUCCUCAACAACUGCACCCAAGAAAAUAUUUCUUCAGUUAAGUUGAAAAACCAAAUGACAGUUUUGGAACCAGAAGUGUUAUCAGGUAUCAGCCUGCUUCUAUAGAAGUGAAUUUC